rnacentral:rRNA from 1 species
AGUAACGCGUGAGAAUCUAGCUUCAGGUCUGGGAUAACUACUGGAAACGGUGGCUAAUACCGGAUGUGCCGAAAGGUGAAAGGCUUGCUGCUUGAAGAUGAGCUCGCGUCUGUUUAGCUAGUUGGUGUGGUAAGAGCGCACCAAGGCGACGAUCAGUAGCUGGUCUGAGAGGAGGAUCAGCCACACUGGGACUGAGACACGGCCCAGACUCCUACGGGAGGCAGCAGUGGGGAAUUUUCCGCAAUGGGCGAAAGCCUGACGGAGCAAUACCGCGUGAGGGAGGAAGGCUCUUGGGUUGUAAACCUCUUUUCUCAAGGAAUAAGUUCUGAAGGUACUUGAGGAAUAAGCAUCGGCUAACUCCGUGCCAGCAGCCGCGGUAAUACGGAGGAUGCAAGCGUUAUCCGGAAUGAUUGGGCGUAAAGCGUCCGCAGGUGGCUGUGUAAGUCUGCUGUUAAAGAGUCUAGCUUAACUAGAUAAAAGCAGUGGAAACUACAUAGCUAGAGUGCGUUCGGGGUAGAGGGAAUUCCUGGUGUAGCGGUGAAAUGCGUAGAGAUCAGGAAGAACACCGGUGGCGAAGGCGCUCUACUAGACCGCAACUGACACUGAGGGACGAAAGCUAGGGGAGCGAAUAGGAUUAGAUACCCCAGUAGUCCUAGC